rnacentral:rRNA from 1 species
GUGUUGUGUUGUAAGGGCGCAUGGUGGAUGCCUUGGCAUAGUAGGCCGAUGAAGGACGUGAGAGGCUGCGAUAGGCCUCGGGGAGUUGCCAACUAAGCGUUGAUCCGAGGGUGUCCGAAUGGGGAAACCUGGCCGUCGUUGUGGGCGGUCGCCGUUAGAUGAAUUCAUAGUCUAAUUGGUGGUUACGCGGGGAAGUGAAACAUCUCAGUACCCGUAGGAGUAGAAAACAAUUGUGAUUCCGUUAGUAGUGGCGAACGAACGUGGAUGAGGCUAAACCGCGUGCGUGUGAUACCUGGCAGGGUUUGCGUGCGUGGGGUUGUGGGGAUGCAUUGUUGCAGGGUCUGCUAGUCCUGCGUUGCGUGUGUGUGGGUGUAGCGGAAGUGGAUUGGAAUGUCCUGCCGUAGACGGUGAGAGUCCGGUACGUGAAACACUCGCAUCUGCAAUUGGUGUGUUGCCCGAGUAGCAGCGGGCUCGUGGAAUCUGCUGUGAAUCUGCCGGGACCACCCGGUAAGCCUAAAUACCUGCUUAUGACCGAUAGCGGAUUAGUACCGUGAGGGAAUGGUGAAAAGUACCCCGGGAGGGGAGUGAAAUAGUACCUGAAACCAUGUGCUUACAAUCCGUCAGAGCCUCCGUGUGGGGUGAUGGCGUGCCUUUUGAAGAAUGAGCCUGCGAGUCAGCGGCAUGUCGCGAGGUUAACCCGUUUGGUGGGGUAGUCGUAGCGAAAGCGAAUACUAAUUAGUGUGUUUUUAGUGGCAUGUCCUGGACCCGAAGCGGGGUGAUCUACCCAUGGCCAGUGUGAAGCAGAGGUAAGACUCUGUGGAGGCGCGAACCCACUUAGGUUGAAAACUGAGGGGAUGAGUUGUGGGUAGGGGUGAAAGGCCAAUCAAACUCCGUGAUAGCUGGUUCUCCCCGAAAUGCAUUUAGGUGCAGCGUCGUGUGUUUCCUCCUGGAGGUAGAGCUACUGGUUGGUUUAGCGGGACUAUCAUCUUAGCGACAUCAGCCAAACUCCGAAUGCCAGGUCAGGUGAGAGCACGGCAGUGAGACUGCGGGGGAUAAGCUUCGUAGUCGAGAGGGAAACAGCCCAGAUCGCCGGCUAAGGCCCCUAAGGGUGUGCUAAGUGGAAAAGGAUGUGGGAUCGCGAAGACAACCAGGAGGUUGGCUUAGAAGCAGCCAUCCUUGAAAGAGUGCGUAAUAGCUCACUGGUCGAGUGGUUCUGCGCCGACAAUGUAGUGGGGCUCAAGUACACCGCCGAAGCCGCGGCAAUCAUCUUUUGUGGUGGUUGGGUAGGGGAGCGUCGCGUGACUGCUGUGAAGCGCUGGGGUAACCCUAGUGUGGAGUGUGCGCGAGUGAGAAUGCAGGCAUGAGUAGCGAAUGAGGAGUGGAAAACUCCUCCGCCGAAUGACUAAGGGUUCCUGGGCCAGGUUAAUCCUCCCAGGGUGAGUCGGGGCCUAAGGCGAGGCCGACAGGCGUAGUCGAUGGAUAACGGGUUGAUAUUCCCGUACCCGUGUGUCCGCGCCCAUGGUGAAUCAGGGAUACUAACCCACCUGAACACGCGCCGUUUACUAGCCUUUUGGGUUGGUUGGUGUGUGUGAUGCUGGGGACCUGAACUGGUAGUAGCCAAGUGAUGGGGUGACGCAGGAAGGUAGCCGUGCCACGUGAUGGAUAUCGUGGUGUAAGCGUGUGGCCCGUGUUCUAGGUAAAUCCGGAGCACAUAUAGGGUGAGGCGUGAUGCGUACCCGUAUUUGGGGAAGUUGGUGAUCCUAUGCUGCCGAGAAAAGCCUCUAGCGAUGUGGAUAUACGGCCCGUACCCGAAACCGACACAGGUAGUCAGGUAGAGAAUACUAAGGCGAUCGGGAGAACUGUGGUUAAGGAACUCGGCAAAAUGCCCCCGUAACUUCGGGAGAAGGGGGGCCAUGACUGGUGACCGACGUGGUUGAGCUGGUUGUGGCCGCAGAGAAUAGAGGGAAGCGACUGUUUACUAAAAACACAGGUCCGUGCGAAGACGUUUAAGUCGAUGUAUACGGACUGACGCCUGCCCGGUGCUGGAAGGUUAAGAGGACCUGUUAGAUUCCUUGUGGGGUCGAAGCGGAGAAUUUAAGCCCCAGUAAACGGCGGUGGUAACUAUAACCAUCCUAAGGUAGCGAAAUUCCUUGUCGGGUAAGUUCCGACCUGCACGAAUGGCGUAACGACUUCCCUGCUGUCUCAACCACAGACCCGGCGAAAUUGCAGUACGAGUAAAGAUGCUCGUUACGCGCGGCAGGACGAAAAGACCCCGGGACCUUCACUAUAGCUUGGUAUUGGUGUUCGGUUCGGUUUGUGUAGGAUAGGUGGGAGACUGUGAUGCCUCAACGCCAGUUGGGGUGGAGUCGUUGUUGAAAUACCACUCUGAUCGUAUUGGACAUCUCAACCUCGGCCCGUGAUCCGGGUUAGGGACAGUGCCUGGUGGGUAGUUUAACUGGGGCGGUUGCCUCCCAAAGAGUAACGGAGGCGCCCAAAGGUUCCCUCAGCCUGGUUGGCAAUCAGGUGUUGAGUGUAAGUGCACAAGGGAGCUUGACUGUGAGACUGACAGGUCGAGCAGGUAGGAAACUAGGGACUAGUGAUCCGGCACCGGCUUGUGGAAGCGGUGUCGCUCAACGGAUAAAAGGUACCCCGGGGAUAACAGGCUGAUCUUCCCCAAGAGUCCAUAUCGACGGGAUGGUUUGGCACCUCGAUGUCGGCUCGUCGCAUCCUGGGGCUGGAGUAGGUCCCAAGGGUUGGGCUGUUCGCCCAUUAAAGCGGCACGCGAGCUGGGUUUAGAACGUCGUGAGACAGUUCGGUCUCUAUCCGCCGCGCGCGUAGAAACUUGAGGAAGGCUGUCCCUAGUACGAGAGGACCGGGAUGGACGUACCUCUGGUGUGCCAGUUGUCCCGCCUGGGGCAUGGCUGGUUGGCUACGUACGGAAGGGAUAACCGCUGAAAGCAUCUAAGCGGGAAGCCUGUUCCAAGAUUAGGUUUCUUUUGAGGUCCCCUAUAGAUGAUGGGGUUGAUAGGCCGGAUCUGGAAGCAUCGUAAGGUGUGGAGGUGACCGGUACUAAUAGACCAAACAUUCAACACACAAGAGAGU